GGAUGCGAUCAUACCAGCACUAAAGCACCGGAUCCCAUCAGAACUCCGUAGUUAAGCCUGCUUGGGCGAGGGUAGCACUAGGAUGGGUGACCUCCUGGGAAGUCCUCGUGUUGCAUUCC
rnacentral:rRNA from 1 species